AUAAACGAUAAAAAUAUCCUUGUGUUAUAGUCUCUUUACUCAUUGUCAAUUGGGAAAAAUCCUCCUCUUUUUUUCUUCCUCCAGAGUUUCUCCCUUUCUCUUCUCUUCAUCUCUCUUCUCAUAUAGAUUUAAGGGUUUCUACUUUGCUCUUUUGUUCACUUCAUCACAUUUAUGGGGUCUGUCAUCAGUUCUGUCAUGGUGCUGGAGCCGUCAACUUGCGUCCUUGUCUUGGUGGUGAAUCUACAGUCAGGAAUCAACCUGUCACGGUCAAAUAACGUUGCUCGAAGAAAUUUGUCCGUUUCAUCACUUUAACUGGAUGUGGAGGCAUUUAGUCUUGGAUUUAAGUGUAAGAGUCCCCUUAAAAUGCUCUCGAUAUUGAAUCCAAGGUCAGGGAGUGGUCGUUCUUGUAAUGUUUUCUGUCAGAUUAUACAACCAAACAUUCGUGUAAGAGUCCCUUUAAAAUGCUCGUGAGAUUGAAUCCAAGGCCAGGGAGUGGUUGUUCUUGUAAUGUUUUCCAUGGGAUUAUACAACCAAAAUUAGGAACCUGGUUGUAACAUUUGAUGGUGAUGGAGCAGUAAUUGUUUACCUGAUGGGCUUUAGUACUUGACAAUUUUAUUUCAAUUAAUAGUUCAGAGCUAGAGAGCACGACAGGGUGGGAAGAGCAGUUAAGAAGAAAUUUGUCCGUUUCAUCACUUUAACUGGAUGUGGAGGCAUUUAAUCUUGGAUUUAAGGGGCCUAAGUCACUUUUCCGUGAGUUGGACAUAAAAGCUCCAUUAAGACAACAAUUAUCCAAUAUAGUUAUUCUGGAGUACCCUAUAAUUUAUGUUUUUCUCCCUUCACAGAGCUAUGAUUUUGUGGUUGAUUCAUAGUCUCACUAGUAGGUCUAUGCUUAGAGAUCCUGUGAGCAAUGACCCUUAAAGUGCAAGUAUUCUGUUCAGGGAAAAGGAAAUAAAAGGUGUUAUCUCUACAAAUCCUCAAGUCUGUGAUAUUAUGAGGCAUGUAAAUCAAGUUCCAUUGCCUGGAAUCCCUAAUGAAACCAAUAUGACUGAGCAGGAAUUGAACAACUUGGAUACACCUUCAUUGACAAGAGUGGCAGCUGACAUCAUAUUAUAUACAAACUCAGAGGUGGAGGAACAAGGAAUGCUAAAAGAUAUGGAGUUUGAUUUUGAUCAAGGCUUAAUAGAUGCAUACAUGGAUCUUAUCGCUGAAAUUAAUCCUGAUGACUUUCUUGGUUUGGAUGAUAUAUUUGCUAAGGAAGCGUGUGGGCAAGAAACAGGAGAUCUUUGAGCAUUCAAAGAGGGAUUAUUUAAGGGAAGAGGAAUUGGAGGAAGGAGAGAUUGCAGAAUGGUUGAUAAUCGUUGUUUUCCUUCAAAAGAAUUUGACCAAAAAAAUAAAGUAUGAAAGAAGGAUCUCCAAAAUGUUUUCGCUUACUUUUCUUGAUCAUAGAGAUUUGAUGCCUCAGGCUCCCACUAGAGGUCAUGAAGUAAAAUCAAAUAUACUGUUGGCAUGAAAUAUAGGGAAAAAAAAAUUUAAAUGCUUACCUUAAGUAUUGAGCGCCAGAAGGCUAUCACAUAUGAAUAUAUAUAUCAACUGUAAUCCGACGGCGAAGUUUAACUGACUAUCAGCUCAAGCCUCAAGGCCAUGGUUUUUUAAUCAAAUAUAUUGUUUUCAUUAUUUAUAGAAUUAUUCAUGAUUCUAGUAAUGAAAAGCUACUGUAAAUUCAUUUUCAGAUUACGUUUCAAAAUUUUUUUAGUCACCUUUUCUCAUUCUCUUCCUCAUUCCAUACAAAGAGAACUUUGCAGCCCCAAAUGUCUUGUUUAGCACAUUAUUAACAUUUUCAGUGCCGAUAUAUAGUAUGAAUAUGGUCGUUCAACAUCAAAGCCAAUACAAGUUGGAUGCUUUCGUUGAUUGCAUUUGACGGUGCAUAUGAUAUUGGGUUGCCACUCUUAGCACUUAUUAACGUUAUCGUUAAGGAAUCAGGAUGGAUAAAGUGAAGAGUAUUUCAUCUGAAAGGAGGUUGAGCCUAGUCCACUGUCAAUAACAUACUUUGAAUAUAUAGUAUGUCACUGUUUUUCUUUUGUAUUUGUAACUCCAAACAUGUAAGUGACAAUUUAAGAGUUCAUAAAAUAUUUAAUCAGUUUUAUUUUAUCAUUAUCAAGUGAUGUGAGAUAAAAUUUUUCAUUUAUUUUGUUGAUAUAGGAUUUAUCUAUAGCUGUUACAAUUAAGCAUGAUUUGUUCAUAAUUUUGUAUCCUAUUUAUUGAGUAACUUUUUACUCACUCUUUUACUUCUUAUAUGUACAGAUACAAAUGAUCACAAUGGCUACAAUGCGAAUAGUGGUCAUCGAGAGUGGACACUGCAUGAAGGUGUUUCAAUCAAUUUUUUAUUAUACUUUAGUUAAUGUAUCAAACUUAUUUUCAAUGUAUUUAGCUACUCAUUAUAUUUUUAUUGUGAUUGAUGGUUAUAUUUCACAUU